GGUUUGCUGAAUUUUGUGAGGACCUAAAUAUCUCCCAUAACUUCACUUCGGUAGCCCAUCCGCAGGCAAACGGCGAGGUCGAGGUGACUAACAGGACUCUGUUGCAAGGAAUCAAGGCGAAACUUGAAAAAGCAAAGGAAACUUGGGCAUAUGAGCUUUAUCAUGUGUUAUGGGCAUACCGAACUACUCAGAGAUUGUCCACAGGGGAGACCCCCUUUGCCUUAGCCUUCGGGACAGAAGCCGUGAUCCCGAUUGAACUCAAGCUUCUGUCGGCGCGAGUCGUGGCAUUCGACGAGCAGCGCAACCCACAGGAUCUCAAAGCCAACCUCGACUUGUUAGAAGAAAAGCGGGAGACAGUUCAAGUUCGGAUGGCGGCUUACAAACAGAGAGUAGCCCGCUACUACAAUUCCCGAGUCAAAAGCAAAGCCUUCAGAGCGGGGGACCUGGUACUUCGGCGAGCCGCUGUCUCACAACCUUAGAAUCAAGGGAAAUUUGCCCCGAACUAGGAAGGCCCGUAUGAAGUCGAGGAGGUAGUCCGAACCGAAAAAUAUUAUCUAAAAGAGCUCGGAGGAGCAGACCUUCCACGACCAUGGAAUUCGAAAAAUAUGCGAAUGUAUUACCAAUAGCUUUGCCUUAAAUAAAAGUUUCAUAUUUGUAUAUUUUUUCUUUUAGCAUGAGCUUAUAACGGCAGGAAGUAACUCCCUCAUACAAUCGAAAUUAAGCGUAUUAGGAACAGGAGGAGAACCUCAUCCUAACAUGAGCAAAGUCGAAGGUCCAGUUACCUAAAGAUCGGAUGGGGGGAGAGGCCCUUGCAACGGUCGUUAUGUACCCCCACAGCCUUGUUAGGAACAGGAGGAGAACCUCGUCCUAACAUGAGCAAAGUCGAAGGUCCGAUUACUUAAAGACCGGAUGGGAGGAGAGGUCGUUGCAACGGCCCUUAUGUGCCCCCACAGCCUUAUUAGGAAUAGGAGAACCUCGUCCUAACAUGAGCAAAGUCGAAGGCUCGGUUACUUAAAGACCGGAUGGGGGGAAAGUCCCUUGCAACGGCCUUUAUGUGCCCCCACAGUCUUGUUAGGA
rnacentral:lncRNA from 1 species